rnacentral:tRNA from 1 species
CGCGGGGUGGAGCAGUUCGGUAGCUCGUCGGGCUCAUAACCCGAAGGUCGCAGGUUCAAAUCCUGCCCCCNCUC